rnacentral:rRNA from 1 species
CUGCUGCCUUCCGUAGGAGUCUGGGCCGUCUCUCAGUCCCAAUGUGGCCGUCCACCCUCUCAGGCCGGCUACUGAUCGUUGCUUUGGUGGGCCGUUACCCCGCCAACUGGCUAAUCAGACGCGGGCCCAUCCCAUACCACCGGAGUUUUUCACACUGCGCCAUGCGGCACUGUGCGCUUAUGCGGUAUUAGCAGCCGUUUCCGGCUGUUAUCCCCCUGUAUGGGGCAGGUUGCCCACGCGUUACUCACCCGUCCG